AAUGAACGCUGGCGGCGCGCCUAAUACAUGCAAGUCGAGCGAGAAGACGUAGCAAUACGUUUGUAAAGCGGCGAACGGGUGAGGAAUACAUGGGUAACCUACCCCUCGAGGUAGGGGAAUAACUACGACCGGUAAAGGUUAGACUAACUACCGCGUACGUCUUUCGUUGGUACGUUUCGGUUCGAGGGAAGGAAAGCGAUCGCCGGAGGGUAUCGCGC
rnacentral:rRNA from 1 species